GUUGUUCUUCAAUAUCUCAUCUUGGGCCUGCGGUUUUACACGAACUGUUGUUCUUCAAUGAUUCUAUCCCGGUGUUACUGAUGCAUUAAAAUUUGCAAGCGCAAGAGUGUACAAUGUACAUUGUCACAACAAAACAGCAGCGGUAGUACAAAGAUGGGACCUCGUAAGAAUUCAAUGACUUAUGCAGAGAAAGGAGUGCUUCAUUUUGGGUAAGCUGCUCUUUUUUACCUGACGCUAUACUGCUAUUAAUUAGUCUGGCUUGAUCAUGAAUAAGGUUUGCUUGCUGCAUUUUGGUUUUACAGUACCGAAAUUUUCUGGUUUGGCAGGUUGUGAACAUGUUUGUUCUUUCUGAUUAAUAAAUUGGUAAUUAGGUAUAUAUUUUGAUUAUUCAAAUUAGGUAUUCCAAUUAUUUAUUCAUGUGAGUGUUUUGGUAGAUU